rnacentral:ncRNA from 1 species
AAACGAGGAAAGAUUUGACUGAUUGCAACCUCGGUUACCCGUAAAAGGUAUACGAAAAAUGCUAAAGCAGUU